GGAGGUCGUUGCUGUGAAGCUGACCCCCUUCUCCAGCUGCCCCUUUAGAGGAGAAGUGUUGGCUCCGGCUCUCAGGAGAGAGGGUGAAGGCAAAUUAUCAUCCAUGGGAUUUUGCUCUACCAAUGUUCGACUAAAGAAGUGUGUUCUCCAGAGAUAUUUCAUUUGGAUCUCUUUCCCUAAGAUCAGAGGAAUCAUGUACAUGAGAAUUAUAUACAUAUAUGGAUGACAGAUAUCAUGUUAGGUAAAUAAAUGCGGUAAGGUAUGA